UGUUUGACGGGCGAGGCGUCACCCUGCUGGAGGUCUGUGGUAGCUGGCCGGAGAGCUUUGGCGUACCGCGACACAACAUCGGCUCGGCAGAUGCGACUGAUGAAGGGCUCCGGGAGAGACUGGCCGAUGCCAUGUCCGAGUCCCCCUCUAGGGACAUCGUAGGAUCAGCUACAGAGCUGCAGAGGGAGGGCAGCAUCGAGACCCUCAGCAACAGCUCGGGUUCCACCAGCGGCAGCAUCCCGAGAAACUUCGAGGGCUACCGCUCCCCUCUGCCCACCAAUGAGGGCCAGCCGCUCAGCCUCUUCCCCACCAACUUCCCCUGAGGAGACCCACCUCUGUUCCAGAAACAUCCACCAACACCCGGCCCUCCUGACCCACCUCUGCCUCCCUCCCCUCCCCUCCCCUCCCCUCCUCUCCCGACAAAUCUGACUCUCUGAUGUGUUACAUUGAACCCAAACUGUGUCUAGGAUUUCUGUUCUCUCUCACAGCUCAGUGUGAUCACAAACAGAAUCAGUAUUUUAUUACUUAAGUCUGGAAAGUCGGAUUAAGUCUGUGGAGAGUUCCAAAUAUUUUGACCAUUUUAGAGAUUCAAAAAAAUAUAUAUCAUUUAGUUUUAAAACUUGAAUUGCUUUCAUGUCUGGAUGAAAACACCUCAGCAAAUCACUGUAAAAAACACUGUACAACUAAUUUCACUUCAGGUUUUUUAACUGUCGCUGAACAAUUAACCAAAUUUGCAGUUUCCACACAGAGUAUUUUCAUACAGCUGCAGUCACCGGGGAAAUUCCAUUAUUGUCAAUAACAGAUCUUCAAUUACGGACCAGAAUCACUCUGCCUGUUACCUUCCUUGUUGUUUUCAGAGACCAGCCGUCCUCUCCUCUCCUCUCCUGCAGCUCAGUCUGCCGUGUCCUCCGCCCGCCAUCAUUCUUUUUCUGUGUGUUUGAAGUUUUACGGUGUGCCUAUUGUCUGAAUGAGCCGUAAGAAAGGGAGCGCAGACGGAGGAGAAAUGUUUAUUCCAGUCAGUGACGUGUAGCAACCAUGUGUGUGUGUGUGUGUGUGAGUGUGUUGCUGCUUGCUCAAUGUUUUUCAUUAAUUUUGGUCCUGUUCUGCCUUUGAUUCUCAUGCAUUUGCUUUUGUCUAAAAGAUGCAGUAAUGACAUGACACUAUAUGUAGGUUGCUACGAUAAUUUUGAUGUUUACGCUGUGAUUGAGAAAUGUCAUGUGGAUUAUUUUGAACCCCAAAACCUCGGCCUUGCAGAGUCCAUUUGAAUUGAGGGGAGUAAUGGACUACAUGCCGUUUUUUGUACGGUAGCAACUUUUGACCAAAAUCUUUUAGCUGCCUCUAAAAUAAAAAAAUGUAUUUUGCUUAAAUGUUCUAGCUUUUCCCAUAACAAAAAUUGACUUUGAUAAUCAGAAAUCCUUUUAUUCACACACUUGUUUGACUUGGUGAAAUCUUAAAUGCACUAUUUACAGAGUCACCUCAGAAAAAAACAACAAAGGAGAAAUCAGGUGUUUCUCAAACCUGGGUCGUCUUUUUUACAGAAUGUCUGCAUCUUAUCUUAAUGACUAAUGUAUGCAGAAAAUGUUGUCCAGUGAAUUGCGUCAGCUGGCGGCCUCAAAACAGGCCGUGAUAGCUGCGAUGUAUUCGCCGCAACAAGUGGACCUGAUCAACUUACUGUAGGUCCCCUGACAGUUUUUACUCUUUAUCACUGACUGACUCAGAUUGUUCUUUUAUGUGUCAGACAACAUAACAAACAGGAUCCCUGCAGAGAGAGAACCUGUUUUCAUUAAAGGACAAAGAUGAUGUUUUUAAACCACAAACAUCUGUUGCAUCACUCUCCUCAAAGCCACCCGACUCCAUUGAUAAAAACAGUCAUUUUACCUCUCAGAACAUGGAAGGCGCUGAUCUACUGCUGCCUCUAUCUGUAAGUUGAAGAUAACACUUUAAAAAGCCCUGAGUCACAUCACAGUAAAUAUACCCAACAAGCCGAUUCAGGGGUGGACCUGCAGCUCCCAUGUUCUGCUAAGGUCAAGUUGAUAAUAAAGAGAUGAAACCUUUUUGUUACUCUAUUCAAAGCCAGACUCCAUUCACAAAAACAUUGAUUUGACCUGAAAGAGCGAGGACCUUGUUUGUAUACCUCGGCCUUCAAUUGCCAGUUUGUUUGUCUGAUCGUGUGACUUGACUUCAGUGUUUUAAAUGUUUGGUAAAGAUCCUGUACUUUUUUUUAAAACAUCAGCCACUUCUUUAAUUCUGCAAGUUAAAGGGCCUGAUUCUUUAAUGGAGUCUGGUAGUUUGAAUCAGAGAGUGAUGAACGGCUCUCACACAAAGGUCUCUCUCUGUAGGGAAUCUUUCUGUAAAGUUGUCAGACACUUUGAGUGACAAUCUGAGUCCACUAGUGGAAAAAGAAAACUAGAUUUUUCAAUCGGACUCACUCUGAUCAGGUACAUUUGUUCUGAAAGAGAACACAUCCAGAAGAUAGAGCAACCUACAGGAGCAACGUAAAGAUAUUUGUUAUUAAUUUAGACCCUUAAAUCUGUUUUAAAAAGCCCCAGGUUGACAACACUUGAAUUCCCCUGUAAAGAUAAACACAGUGUACAAUCCCAUGUGUGAGUGUUGUGGAGCUGGCUGCAUGUCAUGAAGGCCUGUUGUUACUCGGUCACUGAUUCUAGUUUGAAAUGAGAGCAAACGCUUGUUGUUGAUUAGUGAAAUACUGACUUGUUUUUGCAGCAUUCAUGCAAAGAAAAGAACAUAAUAAAAACGAAAGAAAAAGGAA